AUUGAACGCUGGCGGCAGGCCUAACACAUGCAAGUCGAACGGAGUGGCGGACGGGUGAGUAAUGUCUGGGAAACUGCCCGAUGGAGGGGGAUAACGUCCGGACACGGGCGCUAAUACCGCAUACUAUCAGAUGAGCCUAGGUCGGAUUAGCUAGUUGGUGGGGUAAAGGCCUACCAAGGCGACGAUCCGUAACUGGUCUGAGAGGAUGAUCAGCAACACUGGAACUGAGACACGGGCCAGACGCCUACGGUAGGCAGCAGUGGGGAAUAUUGUGCAAGUGGCGAAAGCCUGAUCCAGUCAUGCGGCGUGUGUGAAGAAGGUCUUCGGAUUGUAAAGCACUUUAAGUUGGGAGGCGUUACCAACAGAAUAAGCACCGGCUAACUUCGUGCCAGCAGCCGCGGUAAUAC
rnacentral:rRNA from 1 species